rnacentral:lncRNA from 1 species
GCCGGUGUAAGGCGUACCUACUUCUGACAGGAUUCCAUUAAACAUGGGAUGCAGAUUUACCCUUCUUUCUCCAGAAACAAACCUGAGCCUUAAAGUAGACUUUUACGGGAGGCACACCAGACAUAUAAAAGUAAUAUCCACCAAUAUCUGCCUUAGAGCGUCAAAUACCCAACCCAAGUAGCAGUGAUCGCGAUAAAUAGCGAUUUUAUCGGUUGGUUAUCGCGAUUAUAUCGGUGGCAAUAUAUCGAGAUAUUAUCGCAUUAAAAAGUGCGAUAUAUGGCGAUUAAAUCGCUACACAUCGAAAUUUUUGGUUCGAUAAAAUCGUGAUCAAUUUUUGUCGAUAGAAUCGAAAUUUUAUCGUUUUUAUCGACGCUAAUUGAUCGCGAUAUAAUCGAACCAAAAUUGCGAUGUGCAGCGCUUUAAUCGCCAUAUCGCAAUUUUUAAUGCGAUAAUAUCUCGAUAUAUUGCCACCGAUAUAAUCGCGAUAACCAACCGAUAAAAUCGCUAUUUAUUGUAAUCACUGCUACUUGGGUAAGUGUGCUGCAUGGGGAUGGACUAACUAUGACUCCCGUCUUGUGAGUUGCCGUUCUUGUGCAUUACAACCACCCGCGCUUCCACCAAUAGAAUCACUCCACUUUCUCUUUGUCGCCUUUGUCUAUCCCUUUGUAUAUCAAUUUCAAUACCACUAUUCGGAAGUUGCCGGAUUGUUUCCACCAAAUUAUUUACCUUCGAGGAAAAUUGUGAUUAGUUUUCUUUCAAAUUUUCAGAAAUGGUGGAUUGAAUUGUGGAUGAACUCUGUAGCAAUAUCAAGGGAAAAUAUCCAUGCACUUUCAAGAAAAUUCAGUUUCUAGCAUUAGGAAUAAUUUUGAAACGUCGAAUGUCCAACCGGCAUUUUUCCUAAACGCGUCAAAAAUAAUAAGUCUGAAUCUACGAAUAUCACUCUGUACAUGGAGAUGAUAUCACUUUCUCAGGAUAAAUGAAUGGAUUCUUGAUGCUAGACGAUUCCGAUUCCAAUGAAACCUCGCACUUACAACCUCUCAUGGCGCAGGACGAACCACAUAAGGGACUUCGGGAAACGGCAAAAGCCGUGGCCGAGUUAAAGGAUGAAAAUGAACGGGAACGCGUCAUAUACGGCUUAUUCCUGCAAGUUAAAGACGCGCACGCAGAAGUAGAAGCAGUGAAAAAUCAGAAGUAAGUAGUCAUUUUUAUGUAAUGAGCCAAACUAGUUUGUAAAAGAUGAAAAACUGGAUGUGAAAACACGUAAUCAAAUUUAUUUCAAUGCUCUACUCGGGUAAUGAUGUUAAUAUUUUAAAACCAAUUAUUUAAAACCUUACCAGAUAACUUUACUCAUAAGCUUAAGGGAACAGAGGAUUUUGUCUGGAAACUUAAUUUAAAUAAUUGAGAUUCUUAUAUGGAGUUAGUAUAAAUCGCAUACACGG